CCAGGGGAUCCAGGUUUGAUUCCUGGCAUUCACAAGGCAGCUCACCAACAUAGAUUAGUAUAGCUACCAGCGUGUUGGAGAAGCCCUCGGUAUGCAGUGGAACUACAGAGUCUCAUAACUGGUUAAAGUAAUUAAAAGGGAUUCUUGAAUGUGCAGCUAUAAAUGGAACAUUCGUAUCACCCCUCCAAGGCUCAGGGAACAUCAUGGAAGAUGGGAGGAAGGAAUGGAGGUGGAAUGCUAUCUUCAGGUUAGGAUAUCACUACUGAAUUUUUGUUUUGCUUUUUAAGAAACAAUACAGCCCUGGUUGUCCUGGAAUUUACUAUUUAGAUCAAGCUGGCCUCAAACGGGAAAAGGUCCUCCUGCCUCUGCUUCCUGAGUCCUGUGAUCAAAGCUGUGCCCAUCCACACCUACCUUCAUUACCAGAAUUAAAUUUUUUGAUUGAG